GCAGCAUCUCGCAUUUCCUUCUUCAUCUUCUCUUUCUCCUCCUUCCUUGAUGCUCACUCGCCUAUAAAUAGCCCUCGCUGCCUGCCAUUGUUACUCAAGCCAGCAAGCAAGAAGCACAGAAGAAGCUCCUAGCCAACACCAAUCAAAGCUUCCAUCCAAUCCCAAGCAACCUCGACGAUGUCUUGCUGCGGAGGAAACUGCGGCUGCGGCAGCGCCUGCAAGUGCGGCAACGGCUGCGGCGGCUGCAACAUGUACCCGGAGGCCGAGGCCGCCGGCGCCACCCUCCUCGUCUCCGCCACCGCCACCCACAAGGCGAGCUCCAGCGGCAUGGAGAUGGCGGCGGAGAACGGCGGCUGCGGCUGCACCCAGUGCAAGUGCGGCACCAGCUGCGGCUGCUCCUGCUGCAGUUGCUAGAUCCAUCAUCGGUCAUGCAUGCACCGCGUGCAUCAUAUCUUUGAUCGAUCCAUCCAUCUACUUACCAUGUAACGCUACCUGAUCGAGGGUCUUUGUAUGUAUGUACGCACCUGCCUGCAUGAGCAGAGCAGGUGCCAUGCCAUGCAUGUAAACCCCUAAAUAAAAUCUCCCGUGGUUUAACCUAUAUAAAUGCGUUUGUGUUAUAGACCAGCUUCUGGCCCACGUUUACUAUCAACUUGCAAGGUGCCUGGGUUGUUAAUAGACCAGCUGAAUGAGCUUCAGGUGCUACAUUCGUGAAAAGGACUCGUGGUUUAUAACGCAUAUUGUAGCCUAGUAGCCACAUAUCAGCUGCGCUCAAUAUGCAGGAUUUCCAUUGGAUCAGAUCUUUCGCUUUGACGAAUUUGGACCUAGCGAAAAGGAUUCUUAAGCCUUCGCGCAAACAAGCAAAGUAGAAGCAAGACGAGGAAGUGGAGCUGUCGUAGAAGCAGUAGCUUCCCCCGACAAUAUACAAUACAACAGUAGCGACCAUGAAUAAAAAAGCCCCUUGUUUAACGAGUUCGCUGCUUUUCCCAGGCCGGAGAAGGGCAACUACUUAUUGAUUGAUCGCCUUUCUUUGAUAUGUGUUCAAUUUAGUAUAAUACAAACUACAACUAGAUCAAAGCGGAAGGGCCACUCACUAUAGAAGCUAUAACUAGAAAAGCCCUAGCCAAUAGUUUAGUAGUCGGCCAAACCCCCAUGCUCACGACAUGUUCUUGAUAUUGAUUGAGUUGGAGAGAGUCAGAGACUACCACGGAAUCCUUCCAUAGUCACCCCGGUGACCUUCGUCACCAAAGCGUCACAACAGUUUCCAAGACCCCUCAUAUAAUCUCCAGUGGGGAUCAGUCGGAGCACAUAAGAAUGCCGACCACUACAUAAGCCGCUGGCGGAGAAAGCUCGAAGAGCUUCCCUUCAUUCGCUUCGCGGGAGUCGCACACAGCACAUAGCUGGAAGUCAGAGGGCCCGUACUACCUGCCUAACCCUUCGCUCUGAGGGACCGUAGAACGGAAAGCGCCUUCUAAACAACUCGGCAGAAGGGAAGGGGCCUAUGUAUUUGC
rnacentral:rRNA from 1 species